CCUACGGGAGGCAGCAGUGGGGAAUAUUGGGCAAUGGGCGCAAGCCUGACCCAGCAACGCCGCGUGAAGGAAGAAGGCUUUCGGGUUGUAAACUUCUUUUGUCAGGGAAGAGUAGAAGACGGUACCUGACGAAUAAGCCACGGCUAACUACGUGCCAGCAGCCGCGGUAAGACGUAGGUGGCAAGCGUUGUCCGGAUUUACUGGGUGUAAAGGGCGUGUAGCCGGGUUGACAAGUCAGAUGUGAAAUCCUGCGGCUUAACCGGAGAACUGCAUGUGACAUUGGUGAUCUUGAGUACUGGAGAGGCAGAUAGAAUUCCUAGUGUAGCGGUGAAAUGCGUAGAUAGUAGGAGGAACACCAGUGGCGAAGGCGGUCUGCUGGACAGCAACUGACGGUGAGGCGCGAAAGCGUGGGGAGCAAACAGGAUUAGAUACCCGAGUAGUC
rnacentral:rRNA from 1 species